CGAUUACAUAAAAGGACAAUUGUAAGAACCCGGAUUUUUCUUCAACUUUAAUUCUCACGGCUCUUGAAGCCAAAACAAAAAAAAAAAAAAACCUAGCGGAAGAGGACUCUCGAUGGAGUCCGUCUUCCUUCUUUGAAUCCGACCAGAAUCGGGGGGAUAAGGCCACAAAAAAUCGAUCUGUAGGGACCCUAAUCCAUGCAUAUAAAUAGGUGAUCCCCUCUCCUUUGAAUCCACAACCAAACUCUCGAGGAAUAGCCACAGAUCAUCUGAGAUUUCUAGGGAUCUUUCCGUGGGUUGCUGCCGAAAAGAGCUCACAGAAAUUCCAUCGUGAGGCCUCGCCGGACCUUGGAUCAAUUAAUACACCCACAGUAGAGCAUAGACCGAUAGGAGAGCCUUCUGCCAUGGACACAAAAAUGCCUCGAGAAGGAUUAGUGAGAGGCAGGAGAAAUUAUAGAGGAAGAGGUAGAAAUGCUGGAGGCAAUCAAAUUGAAGGAGGACUAGCUGUUGGGGGAAGAUUUGGUCCAAGUAAAAAUACUGGAGGUAGGGGAAGAAGAGGUAGAGUAACUGGAGGAAAAGUUAUUGGAGGUAGAGUUAGAGGGCCAGCAUUUGACAGGUCAUCCUAGUUAGGGAAAGACUUUCAAGCUUUCUUAAGGAGCAUACAAUAAGAGAUAGGUGGGCUGCUGCUAAGAUCUAAUGAAAUUGAAAGAUUUUCAAGAAUUGAAAAGCAUGCUGGGCCACAACCAUUUGUUUUCCUGAUAUAAAGAGAACACAUGUGUGGCUUUGUAACAGUUUUUUGUGGACUAUGUUUGGGACAAAGUGUGACCUUUCUCAAUGUGUUGAAAUUAUGUAAUUCUAGAUGGAAUUGCGGCUUUGUAAUCAAACUAUGUUGGUUGCUAAAUUAUGUUGGUGUGUGUAAACAGUUGUUGUGUACCCUGUUAUAACUCUAGACAGAUUAAUUCUAAAUGCAAAAAGGUAUUUAGUAUUGCUAUA